UUUGAUCACUGCCUCCUGUACAGUGUUAUGACCCUCCAUCCAUAGUUCUUCAGGCAUUUUGUCUAUCAAAUCUAAAAGAUCAUAGUCCCUAAAAGACCUUAUUGCUCAUGCCCUAAGUCAUGUCUGACUCUGCAACCUCAUGGGCUGUGUAGCCCACCAUGCUUCUCUGUCCAUGGGAUUCCUUAGGCAAAGAUACUGGAGCAGGGCACCAUUACCUCCUCCAUGGGAUCUUCCCAACUCAGGGACAGAAUCUGUGUCUCCAGCAUCUGCAGGCCAAUUCUCUACCACUGGGCCACCUGGGAAGCCCCAAAAGUCCUCAUUACAAACCUGUUAUAAGGCAACCAUGGAACCUGGAUGCUCUGAAGCAGCAGGCUGAAGGAAACAGUCCUUGCCUAUGCCGAAGAGCCUUUAAAUGCAGGCACCUGAGAACUCAGUGAUGGGGAUGAACACCUUCUCAGAUAAAAGACCUAAAAUGCUGCCAAGAGGUGCAAGAUGAACUCUGCUGAGCCUCUGAGACAAGAUUUUCCACAGUUCCUUCUCUGCUCAGACCCCUCAGGUCAACCAGGAGGCCCACUAUCAAGGGACAAAACUUCUUUAUUCCCCACACUUAUUUUCUGGCUCAUAGUUAAUCAAUGUAAUAGUAGGAGUCCCAAGAGAUGGCGGGAGAUCUUGCCAGUCUUUCUUGCAAUUAACAUUUGCUCAGUGUGGUUUUGAUCAGCAGUGGCCUCCUUUGUUAAAGGGUACCCAAGGGGCUCUGUGCAUCACCUACUUACAGAAUGAUGCAGAGCUCAGGAGGAACCCAGAAUAAGAUGAAGACUUGCCAUUCAGGAAGCUUAAGAGCAUCUGAGUGCUCCUCUCCUUCCUCCUGCUGGUUCACUAUCAAGAAUAACAACAGCUGAUAUUUACUGAAUAUUGACAAGCCUCAGGUGCUGUGCUAAGAGGUAUGCCUACAUUAUCCCAUUCAAUCCUUAACAGCGUCUUAGUGAAACAGUACCUUUACAGUGUCCAUUUUGAAGUUGUAAAGCUGGGGCUUGGAGAGGCAAAAUCACCUGCCCUGAGCCAAAGAGCUGUUUCAGUGUAUUAGCUAUAUUCUGAAAUACAGAGUGACCCCCUCUUUGAGCCCUAGCUGGGUUCUCUAGAACAGACAACAGUUCCCUUCAGCAUCAGGGACUUUCCCAAGGAUGGAUUAUUUGCUUGAGGAGGGAAAAUGAGCAACAGUGCUCCCAGUCUAGGAUCUGGGUGACUUCUUGCCUAGGCUGGCUUCACGGGUGUGCAACUUGGGUAGACACACAUGGCCCUGUGCUCAGCAGGAGAAUGCAUGAGUAGGAAGACACGCACCAUAUAUGUGUUCUCCAUUCCUCGCUGCCCCCAUGAGGUUGGCAGUUCCCCCAAGAGCACAGAAUUCCAGUGAGAGCCCAGUGAGAUGCAAAGUAAGUCAAAGGGAGAACUGACACUCCUGAAUGAAUAUGAGGAAACCCCAGGCAAAUUCCGGUUCACCACAUAUACUCAGGGACGUCAGAUCCACCCCUAAACCAGAAGUGGUAUUUCUCCGUUGGCGUCUUCACACAGUGACAGAGAACAGAGAAUUUUCGACUUCCUUCUGAAAGGAGUGACACGAGCAACCAGGGCUGUGAAAGACUCUUCCCUUCCACCCCUGGACCAAAAAGCGAGGAGACAGUCUCAUGAACGAGGCCCUUGAGUGACGUGGAGAGCGGAUGUCAGGCCCGCUGACCUCUUUUUACUCGGCACCAGCGAGUCCGGAAGGACGGGGUCGCCAUCUACUCGCUCCCUUUAGCUGCCUGGUGCUUCUUCCCCACAGCAGGCUUAGUGCCCAGUCUGUGUCUCAUCCCACCUCACAUCCCACCUCAUCUCUACGCCUUUGGGUUAUGCUAGCCAACAGGUGGCAAGGGCACGGCUGAUUCUAAUUUCCAAGCGCACUUUCCCCAGUCCCCCAUCCUGUCUGCUGAAAGAGAUUCACUUCUCAUGAGAAUCUGGUAAGCCUGCCAGCACCCCCAGGAGGAAAAAGUCACUAACUCACUUCUUUAGAAGCACCUUCCCCACCCC